AAUCAACGCUGGCGGCGUGCCUAACACAUGCAAGUCGAACGCGACUGGGGCUUCGGCCUCAGUUGAGUGGCGAACGGGUGAGUAACACGUGGGUGACCUACCUUCGAAUGGGGGAUAACGUCCCGAAAGGGACGCUAAUACCGCAUAACAUCCUGCCUUUGAACAGGCGGAGAUCAAAGCCGGGGAUCGCAAGACCUGGCGUUUGAAGAGGGGCCCGCGUCCGAUUAGCUAGUUGGUGGGGUGAUGGCCUACCAAGGCGACGACGGGUAGCCGGCCUGAGAGGGCGACCGGCCACACUGGGACUGAGACACGGCCCAGACUCCUACGGGAGGCAGCAGUGGGGAAUCUUGCGCAAUGGGCGAAAGCCUGACGCAGCGACGCCGCGUGAGGGAUGACGGCCU
rnacentral:rRNA from 1 species